CCUACGGGUGGCUGCAGUGAGGAAUAUUGGUCAAUGGACGAGAGUCUGAACCAGCCAAGUCGCGUGAGGGAUUAAGGCCCUGCGGGUCGUAAACCUCUUUUGCCGGGGAGCAGAGGUCCGGACGUGUCCGGGCCGGGAGAGUACCCGGAGAAAAAGCAUCGGCUAACUCCGUGCCAGCAGCCGCGGUAAUACGGAGGAUGCGAGCGUUAUCCGGAUUUAUUGGGUUUAAAGGGUGCGUAGGCGGGCAUUUAAGCCGGCGGUCAAAUGUCGGGGCUCAACCCCGGCCUGCCGUCGGAACUGGGUGCCUUGAGUGGGCGAGAAGUAUGCGGAAUGCGUGGUGUAGCGGUGAAAUGCAUAGAUAUCACGCAGAACCCCGAUUGCGAAGGCAGCAUACCGGCGCCCGACUGACGCUGAGGCACGAAAGUGCGGGUAUCGAACAGGAUUAGAUACCCGGGUAGUC
rnacentral:rRNA from 1 species